rnacentral:rRNA from 1 species
AUUGAACGCUGGCGGCAUGCCUUACACAUGCAAGUACGAACGGCAGCACGGGAGCAAUCCUGGUGGCGAGUGGCGAACGGGUGAGUAAUAUAUCGGAACGUGCCCAGUCGUGGGGGAUAACGUAGCGAAAGCUACGCUAAUACCGCAUACUAUCUAUGGAUGAAAGCGGGGGAUCGCAAGACCUCGCGCGAUUGGAGCGGCCGAUAUCAGAUUAGGUAGUUGGUGAGGUAAAGGCUCACCAAGCCGACGAUCUGUAGCUGGUCUGAGAGGACGACCAGCCACACUGGGACUGAGACACGGCCCAGACUCCUACGGGAGGCAGCAGUGGGGAAUUUUGGACAAUGGGCGCAAGCCUGAUCCAGCAAUGCCGCGUGCAGGAUGAAGGCCUUCGGGUUGUAAACUGCUUUUGUACGGAACGAAACGGUGAGCUCUAAUACAGUUUGCUAAUGACGGUACCGUAAGAAUAAGCACCGGCUAACUACGUG